GACGAACGCUGGCGGCGUGCUUAACACAUGCAAGUCGAACGGAAAGGCCCUGCGUUUGUGGGGUGCUCGAGUGGCGAACGGGUGAGUAACACGUGAGUAACCUGCCCCUGACUUUGGGAUAACUUCAGGAAACUGGGGCGAAUACCGGAUAGGAGCUCCUGCUGCAUGGUGGGGGUUGGAAAGUUUCGGCGGUUGGGGAUGGACUCGCGGCUUACCAGCUUGUUGGUGGGGUAGUGGCUUACCAAGGGUUUGACGGGUAGCCGGCCUGGGAGGGUGACCGGCCACAUUGGGACUGAGAUACGGCCCAGACUCCUACGGGCGGCAGCAGUGGAGAGUAUUGCACAAUGGGCGGAAGCCUGAUGCAGCAACGCCGCGUGCGGGAUGACGGCCUUCGGGUUGUAAACCGCUUUCGCCUGUGACGAAGCGUGAGUGACGGUAAUGGGUAAAGAAGCACCGGCUAACUACGUG
rnacentral:rRNA from 1 species